rnacentral:lncRNA from 1 species
GUUCUCUAUUGCUGUAGAAAGACUGGUUAUUAGCCAUAAAUGACUGUAUUUCAUCUUGUGAGAUAAAGAUUUCCUCAUCUGAAGUACAUUCAGACUCAUCCUGCAAAUUAAAGCAGUAGUUAAGACUAUGACUUAAGAAUGCAAAAUGUUAUGUAAUGGAGGAGGACAGCUAAAAAUUAAACCAGUCUAACUUUUUAGUUUCACAUCAGUCACAUAAAGCCUUUAAUUGGAGUGUUUGCAGAAUAAGCAUCAUGUCAUUCUGCCUAAGAAAGUAGUGAGAAUAAAAUCCAACUCCUUGAGUUGAAACCUUGAAUCUAUAAUUUCUCCUAGAAGCCUAUGAGCCUAGCAAACUACCACCAUACCUUGGCCUUGAAAAAAUAACUAAUUAAAGAUGUUACAACUAGUUACCAUAUUUUAAGUAGCCAGACGUAUCUCCAGUUAGUCCUAUCUUGAAACAGUCAUCUCUACAAACUAAGUAAAAGAUAACCAUUUUCUACUUAAGAAGUAAACUUUUACAACCAUUAAAACUUUUAAACAUUAAACUUAUACAGGUGGUGGCUCACACCUGUAAUCCCAGCAUUUUGGGAGGCUGAGGCAGGAGAAUCACUUGAACCUUGGAGGCAGAGGCUACAGUGAGCCAAGAUCGUGCCACUGCACUCUAUCUAGCCUGGGCGACAGAGCGAGACUCCUCAAAAAAAAAAAAUAAAUAAAUAUUAAAACUAAACUUUACAACCAUAAAAAAGAAAAAAACUAGCUGGGCGCGGUGGCUCACGCCUGUAAUCCCAGCACUUUGGGAGGCUGAGGUGGGCAGAUCACCUGAGGUUGGGAGUUCGAGACCAGCCUGACCAACAUGGAGAAACCCAUCUCUACUAAAAAUACAAAAUUAGCCAGGCAUGGUGGCACAAGCCUGUAGUCCCAGCUACUCGGGAGGCUGAAGCCAGAGAAUCGCUUGAACCUGGGAGGCGGAGGUUGCGAUUAGCCGAGAUCGCACCAUCGCACUCCAGCCUGGGCAACAGAGCAAAACUCCACCUCAAAAAAAAGAAAAAGAAAAAAGCUAGUAUUCCGAAGGAUUUGGUUCCAUCAGGACUCUAAUGAAAAGGACACCACUCUUCUUCCUCCCCUCCUCCAAGGGCCACCUAUACUACGCACUGGGUCAGUUGGGGAUCAGGUAAAAAGUCUCAGGACUGGAGUCUUACCCUACAUGACACCUAAAAGAAGAAAGCAACCUCUAGUUCAAAUUGUAUAUUCUUUCUGGUAUGGAAGGGUGGCUACCAUAACUUGCCAAUCAGAAAGGCAAAGUUUGCUUACAGUAACCUACUUCAAGGAGGCAGACUACUGAAUACAAUGCUACCUCUAUCCUUUCUCCUAACUACAGAUGGUCCUGACUUAACAAUGGUCAAUGGUUCUACUCAGGUUUUUUUUGAGACAAAGUCUCACUCUGUCGCCAGGCUGGACUGCAGUGGCACGAUCUCAGCUCACUGAAACCUCCGCCUCCUGGCUUCAAGUGAUUCUCCUGCCUUAGCCUCCCGGGUAGCUGGGACUACUGGCACACGCCACCAUGCCCAGCUAAUUUUUGUAUUUUUAGUAGAGACGGGGUUUCAUCAUAUUGGCCAGGAUGGUCUUGAUCUCUUGACCUCAUGAUCCACCCACCUCGGUCUCCCAAAGUGCUGGGAUUACAAGCAUGAGCCACUGCACCCAGCCUUAUUUGGGAUUUUUUUUUUUUAACUUUACAAAGGGUUUAUUGGGAUGUUGAAUGUAUUUUCAACUCGCAGUAUUUUUGAGUUAUAAUGGGUUUAUUGGAAUGUAACCC